GGAAGUGUCUAGUUCUUUUGUUACUCUUACCAAAGAGAAGUAAAGUAAUAAAGAAAGAAGCGAAAAAGAAAAAGAAAAGGUUUUGUUUUUGGUUUCUGUUUCUCCAUUAAAAGCAACAACAAAAUCUCCUGAAACUAAUUCCAUUAAGUGAAGCAGAUGCAACCAACACCUUCCUCUGGUGGUGGUGGUGGUGGAGGUGGUGGAGAGAAUCGAGUUGGGUUGGCUCGUUUCAGGUCUGCACCACCAACUUGGUUAGAAGCACUUCUUGAGGAAGAAGAAGAAGAAGAGGACCCAUUAAAGCCAACCCAAACUCUGACUCAAUUAUUAGCAUCAAACACUACUAGAAAUUCUUUACCCUUUGGGCCUUCUAGUUCUUCUGUUGUUGAACCGGGUGGUGGCAGUAAUUUGUUUGAACCGGGUGGUGGUGGUGGUUUUCAAAGGCAACAUAGUUCUCCAGCUGAUUUUUUAGUGAAUUCAGGGAUUGGAAAUGAUGGGUAUUUUGCUAACUUUGGAAUUCCUCCAAAUUAUGAAUAUAUUUCACCCAAUAUGGAUGUUUCUCCUUCUGGUAAAAGGACUAGAGAUGUUCAGUUGCAGCACUCUUCUGCUAAUAAGUACCCUCCUCUCUUGAAAGGAGAGCAAAGUAGUCAGGUUCCUGGUGGUGGUGAUGGGAUGUCUAGUUUGAUAGAAAUGGAAAUGGAGAAGCUUUUAGAGGAUUCAGUACCAUGUAGAGUUCGUGCGAAGCGAGGCUGUGCUACACAUCCUCGGAGUAUUGCAGAGAGGGUUCGAAGAACUCGAAUCAGUGACCGAAUAAGGAAGCUUCAGGAACUUGUUCCAAACAUGGAUAAGGUACAUGUCAAAUUUUUGGUAGAGUUAUCACCUGAAUUAAGGUACAAACUCUCUCAAUCCCAACGUGACAAUGACUUCUUCUGAUAGGAGUGAGCAACAAAAUAAAUUUCAUGCAAGUAAUUUUCCACGUAAUCAUUAUGUUGGGAAUAACUGUUUGCACAGUUUUGAACUAAGUCAUGUGAACAAGUUGAUGAGGAUUCUUAUGAAGCAGACAAACACUGCAGAUAUGUUAGAUGAGGCAGUGGGGUAUGUUAAGUUUCUCCAAAGGCAAAUUCAGGAACUCACGGAACAUCAAAGGAAAUGCACAUGCAUGGCCAAAGAAUAACAGGAAGGAGAUGAAACCUGUAAUGAGAAUUGCAUAUCUUUAGAGUCCAUGAUCAAGGCUUACUGCUUCAUCUUGAAAAGACUCGCUCUCUGAAGUCAACUUGGUAUGGCUGUAGUUGUAGAAUAUUGUAUACAAUAAUAUUCUUCAAGGUAGUGCUCUUCAAGUUUAUAUAUAUUCAUUAUCAUUGUUUCCAAAAUUAUAUCAUAUAUUUAGGAAUCUGUAUUCUGUUGAACUCUCUUACAAAUCAGGAAGCUAUUUUUAUCAAUAAAAAUCUUUGGUCGAUGAUUCAGAUA